rnacentral:rRNA from 1 species
GACGAACGCUGGCGGCGUGCUUAACACAUGCAAGUCGAGCGGAAAGGCCUUUCGGGGUACUCGAGCGGCGAACGGGUGAGUAACACGUGAGUAAUCUGCCCUUCACUCUGGGAUAGCCACCGGAAACGGUGAUUAAUACCGGAUACGACCAAUCCCUGCAUGGGGUGUUGGUGGAAACUUUUUUGGGUGGGGGAUGUGCUCGCGGCCUAUCAGCUUGUUGGUGGGGUAAUGGCCUACCAAGGCUUCGACGGGUAGCCGGCCUGAGAGGGUGACCGGCCACACUGGGACUGAGACACGGCCCAGACUCCUACGGGAGGCAGCAGUGGGGAAUAUUGGUCAAUGGGCGGAAGCCUGAUCCAGCAACGCCGCGUGAGGGAUGACGGCCUUCGGGUUGUAAACCUCUUUCAGCACCGACGAAGCGCAAGUGACGGUAGGUGCAGAAGAAGGACCGGCCAACUACGUGCCAGCCGCCGCCGUAAGAC